GGGGCUGUAGCUCAGCUCGGCAGAGCACUUGCAUGGCAUGCAAGGGGUCAGGGGUUCAAAUCCCCUCAGCUCCACCA
rnacentral:tRNA from 5 species